rnacentral:rRNA from 1 species
UAUUGACUUAGCGGCGGACGGGUGAGUAACGCGUGGGUAACCUGCCUUACACAGGGGGAUAACACCUGGAAACAGGUGCUAAUACCGCAUAAGCGCACAGGGCCGCAUGGCCCGGUGUGAAAAACUCCGGUGGUGUAAGAUGGACCCGCGUCUGAUUAGCUUGUUGGCGGGGUAGGGGCCCACCAAGGCGACGAUCAGUAGCCGGCCUGAGAGGGUGGACGGCCACAUUGGGACUGAGACACGGCCCAAACUCCUACGGGAGGCAGCAG